UGGGGAAUUUUCCGCAAUGGGCGAAAGCCUGACGAGCAUGCCGCGUGGAGGUGGAAGGCCUACGGGUCGUCAACUUCUUUUCUCGGAGAAGAAACAAUGACGGUAUCUGAGGAAUAAGCAUCGGCUAACUCUGUGCCAA
rnacentral:rRNA from 1 species